GCCUCCAGGCAGGUCUUGAAUAUCUCCAGAGAAGGAGAAUCCACAACCUCCUUGGGCAGCCUGUUCCAGUGCUCUGUCAUCCUCAUUGGGAAGAAGUUCCUUCGCAUAUUGGUGUGGAUUUUCCUAUGCUCAAGUUUAUGGCCGUUUCCCCUUAUCCCGUCCAAACACGUAAGAACGAAAGAGGACACCAAACCCACCCCGCCAGACCCGGGCCAAACUAGGCCCUCCGCCCCCAUCCCACGGCGCGCUGGGAAGUUGCGCACAAGGGCUCUCCUCACAACUCCACGCUCUACCACCCGCCCCACGGACAGGCCUGGGGACCCCGGGCACCCGCCGCGCAGGGCAGCAGGAAUUACAGCUCCCCAGGGGACGGCCCCGGGCGGCACACGGGGAGGGGGGCCCGGACGGGCAGUGUUUACACCGCGAGAGUCCGGCAAGGACAACUCUCCAGGCGCGGUCGGGGCGCGGCCGGCGGGCUGCCUUACCCACGGUGGACUUGCAGGCCUCGCAGAAGGUGUCGUCGGUGAAGCGCUCCAUCAGGCUGGUCUUACCCACCCCUCGCGAGCCGAUGAUGAUCACCUGCAGCUUGAAGUCGGCGGGCCGCGGCGGCUGCUUCCUGCGGCGGGCCUGCCCCCCGGACAGCGCCGGCGACCCCCCCGCCGAGCCCGCCCCGAGCUCCAACCCGCCGCCCCCCGCCCUGCGCUGCGCCAGCCCCGAGCCCGGCUCCAUCAGCGCCGCAUGCGGCGCCGCGCCGGCGCCGCGCUCCCCGCCCGCCUCCGCCGCGCCCCGCGCCGCUGCCCUGCCCGCCGCCGGCGCCCACCGCCGCGAGGCAGCGGGAGGAGGGGACUGCGAGGACGAGGCGCGGCCGCCACCCGACCCGGCCCGACGGGAACGGCGACGGGAAAGGGAACUCAGCCGACCAGCGCCGCCGCCACGAGCGGCGCGCCCGGCCCGGGCCUCGCCGCGCAGCGCCCUCUACAGCACCGGAGCCGCGGCCCCGCGCCGCAGUGCCGGGGGCGGGCAGUGCCAGUGCCCCGCCCAGCGGGACGGACUGGGAUGAAGGCUCGAAGGGGCUCACGUACGCGCUAUCCAAGGGGUUCUUCCAGUCCUCUGUUUCUGAGGGAGUUUCGGCUUCGCCGGGUGUUUGGGUCGCAGAGCUCGUAG
rnacentral:lncRNA from 1 species